rnacentral:rRNA from 1 species
GACGAACGCUGGCGGCGCGCCUAACACAUGCAAGUCGAACGAGCGAGCGAGAGCUUGCUUUCUUGAGCGAGUGGCGAACGGGUGAGUAACGCGUGAGGAACCUGCCUCAAAGAGGGGGACAACAGUUGGAAACGACUGCUAAUACCGCAUAAGCCCACAGUGCCGCAUGGCACAGAGGGAAAAGGAGCAAUCCGCGUUGAGAUGGCCUCGCGUCCGAUUAGCUAGUUGGUGAGGUAACGGCCCACCAAAGCGACGAUCGGUAGCCGGACUGAGAGGUUGAACGGCCACAUUGAGGCUGAGACACAGCCCAGACUCCUGCAGGAUGCAGCAGUGGGGAAUAUUGCACAAUGGGGGAAGUCCAGAUGGAGCGACGCCGCGUGAAGGAAGAAGGUCUGCGAGUUGUGAAGUCCUGUUGUAGGGGAAGAUAAUGACGGUACCCAACAAAGAAGUGACGGCUAACUACGUG